UUGUAACACUGCAUUUCAGCCUGGGUGACAAUGAGAUCCUGUCUCAAAAAAAAAUUUUUUUUAAAAAAAGACUUAAUUGAACCGUAAAUAUGGAAGUGGUAAAAGGAAUGCAUUUGCAGAGAAAAUAUCAAAACUUUAGUCACCUGGGUUUUUGUUGUUGUUUUGCACAUUAUUUCCUUGGGACUAUAUUGCCAACCUCCAAGCUUUCUAUGAAUUCACAAAACCUACAUCCUCCUCUCUACUGAAACAAAGAAGAGGAGAAAGAAUAACAAUGUUAAGCACUGAAUAUUCGAUAAACCUAAGGAACUUACCAUUACCAUAUUUUUUUCUUGGUCAAAUAUCUAUUAUCUCUAAAAGUAAACCCAAAUUCCAGCACUUAAUUAGGUUCCUGGGGGAGGAUAUAGAAUUGUUUAAAAUAGAGUAUAAGCCUAUUUGUCUGUAUUGUCUCAUCCAGAAAGGAAAUGAGAUCAACCAGAUAACCUUCUUGGAUUCCUUCAAGUGUUGACUCCACAGUACCUUAUUUUCAAGGUCAAGCAAGUGCCCAAAUGUGACCGACGCUGCCAUUCACAGUAAAAGGCCAAACAAGAUGGCCAGGCCCUUUGCCCUCAUUAAGAAUGUAAUCUAGAGCUGUAGUCCUCAAGCAUUUAUCAUCACAUACCCAUCAAUAAAAUUUGUUGAGUGUGCACCUCCAA
rnacentral:lncRNA from 1 species